rnacentral:misc_RNA from 1 species
UAUUAUAUUUAUACAACAACAACAAAAUAAGUAAAAAUAUGGAAACACUGAAAAUGGAAAAAUGUCCGUGCGUGGGCGUCUUGAGUCCGGUGCCAAUCUAUCAGAAGCUGAUGGUAGAUAAUCUAACCGUUAUACGCCCACCAAUACUCAAGCUCUACUAUUGGGAGAGUUUCGAUAUAACAGGUCUGAACAAGAAACUGCGCUCGAACAAGCGUGAGUUCGAGCAUGUCCUGGCCAUUCCCUUGCGCCAGAUUCAGAGCCAGCCCCUGAAGAUCAUCUUCUGGCUGCGCAAUAUGUCCGCCAAGCCGCUGGAGCUGAAACUGAAGCGCGUCCAGAACUGCCAGUGCCAGCCGUUGCAGACCCGCGUCGGCUUCAACCAGUUCCGUCAGCUCUUCCACUGCCCCCAUCGCCGGCUCAUCCACGUCAGCCAGGAGCUGCUUAACUUGCUGCCGGACGAGGUGCUGCCCAUCUCGGUGACCGCUCACUUCUUUCUCUACGGCGAACACUAUCUCACCUACGAGAUCUACACCAACGACGAUCGCAAGCUCAUUUGGACCUUUAAGCUGGAGGUCACAGCCUUCGAUCCGGAACGCUGUCUGCUUACGAAGGAGCUGCUGCCCGUAAAUAUUCGAAACUUUCGCCAUGUCACACAGCCGAUUUGGGUGCAGAACAUCACGAUGACCCAUCUAUCGUUCAACUUCUACGCACGCGAACGCAGCUUCAAGCUGCACAACUCGAGUCUGACUGUGCCCCGGCAGAGCGUCUGGCCCCUGCUCGUUGAGUACAGACCCCUGGACUAUGAGAAUGAGGUGGAAGUAAUGCUAUCAUAUGAGAGCGUCAAGGCGCGCUAUAAGAUCAAGGCACGUGGCGCGAUCACAGACGAGCAUGAGGUCACAGAUAUGCCGCUUAAGGACCGAGAAUCCGCCGAAUAUCUCUACGUUAUCUAUCCGAAUCGCCUGAGCUUCGAGCUCUGCAUCAAGGAGAGUCGCACUCAGCUCGUCAAUUUACACAACUAUGGACAGAAGUGCAUGGAAUUUCGUUGGCAAAACUACAUCAUCAGUGACUUCUUUGCCGUCACUUUCGAGCCGUCCACCUUUCUCCUGAAGGGCCAUCACUCGAAGCUCUGCGAGAUCAAGGUUUCCGUCUUUGAGCGUCUGCUCUUCUUCCGUCGCAUUCCCAUUGUGCUGGAGGUGCAUCGUGUGCUGGAUACGGCCACCCAAAUAGCCAAAGCCGAGCUGGCCGAGGUCGAGUCCAUUGACGAUCCCAAGUGGAAGGAGGAUAGCUAUGUGGAGCAUGUCUUUCUGCAUCUGAACAUUCGUGUCCAUUUGUCCAGUCGCGAGGAACGAGAUGACGAUAGUAUCGUUGAGGUCGAUGGCGCCUGCUCGCCCUGCGGCGGCGUCGGCCUGGACCCAGCCGCUGCCGGCGAUGCUUCGCCUGUGGAGAAGCUAACCGAGGCGGAGAGGAAGCUCAAGGAACGCGAGGAACUGGUCAAGCGUCUCUCCAUGAAACGCAAACUGACUGCUAACGAGGUGAUCGAGCUGAGCAUGGCCAUCGAUCAUCGGGUGACCAUAUUUGAGAAGCUCUUCUGGAAGUUUCUAUCCAAGUCGAAUUUCAUGCGCAUUCCCGCGGAACGGACUCGCAACAAGUUUAGCAAGACCUACGAUGAAGUCGUCAUGUCGGAUCUCAUGCAGGACCCGUUCAAUGCCAGUUCGCAGGUGGAUCACAAUACCAUCUUGUCCAUACUCAGUCGCCUGAUGGUGGAGGCUCUUAACGAUUUGGCCAAGAACUGGAUAUUUAUACCAUCCGAGUUCUACGAACGUGAUCCUUAAACUUGCUUGCAAUUGUGUUCAACUGUUCAACUGUGCCAGCCAUAUUACAUAACCUCAAAGCGCAUUGCUCGUUGCACACUUUGCGGCAGCCAUUCAAGCUGUCCACAUGCCGCAUGCCACCAAAAUUUAUGUCAAGCCACAUUUUUCGUAAGAUCUCUGGGAAUGGAAACGGAUGCCAAAAAUGAAGAAUAAAAAAAAAAUAUGUGAGAUAUAAUUUUAUAACUGAUU